CCAGAGGGGUUUAAUAUGUUUAUUUUGAAAAAUCAAAAUGAUUUAGGGCUUUUAUAUAAAGGAAUCUCGUUCAGGGGCUGAUUGUGUUUAAGUGGUCCAAACUUAAUGAAAUUAGGGCUCAUAUGCCCCCGUCCUCACUUAUUGCUCGGUCAAAUGAACGGGAUACAACGAUGGCAAGGAACGAAGGCGGACGAACGCAGAGGGGGAAAAGGGAGUACGAAGGAUCGCAUUUGGUUGAUCGAUUUCUAGAAGGAGGUCGUCUCCAGGGGUCGACGAGGCCGAAGAACGAAGAUGGGAAAAAGCAGCGAAGCUUUCUUCCUGCUCCGAUGGUGAUGUGCGAAGGGGGAAAGGGAAUCGGUCUGCCUGGAGCGAUGCGAGCAGCAAAAACGGCACAACCGAGGCUUCGAUGGCCGCUGCUCGAUAGGAGAAAAGAGAAGGUACGAGGGUGAGGCCAGAAGAGUGUUUCAUCGGUGUCAGUGGGUGCAGCGAUGAGAUGUGAGGUUAGCUGCUCCAAUGGAGCAAUCAAACGACGAAAGAAUCUCCGGUGAGGCAUCCGACGACAGUACAAGCGGAGAAGGGUGGUGCGAUGGGGCUAUUUACGAUCGGUGGUGACAGGGGGAGAGGCAAAAACAGAUUGGCGAUCUUCAAGGGGGUGUUUAGGUGGUUCAGUCGAUGGAACAAAUGGAGAGGAGGGGUCAGGGCGGAAGACAAACAUUUCAAGCGAGGGGGCCCAAAUUAGAACUUCAAAACAAAUACUUAUUAUGAUUGUUACUCAUUUAUAAUACAUGCAUUUAAAUGAGAGUCUUUAAAUCAUUGUCUGUUUAUACUUAUAUUUGUGAUUGAUUAUGUUAAUAGAAAAAUAUUCUUUUAAUAAAAUAUAAAA